CUCCUGCCAACUUGGCAGCUCAUCGCUGCUGUUACUAUCAACACCUCCAAGGGAAAAGGGAGAGGAGUCAGCUCUGAUCGCCUGGCGCACUGUGCAGCAAAUUCAUGUCAGAGCCAGCCUUGGAAUGUCUCCCAAGCUCCCAAGGCUCCUGGUGAGGAGGAAAAGGAGCCUUUCUCCCAGAUGUGAAACUGAUCCUAAGACCCCCUGUAAUUUCCUGCUGAAAAUCUCCACCAAGAAACACAGCCACAGCCACAGUUCUUCCUGGUAAGAAGCCCCCAGGGCCAGGCAACAAGAAAAGUGAGCUCGUUCAGCAGGCUGGGAUGUAAAUAAGCCACAAGAGGCUGUGCCAUUCUGGGUUGCACCUGUGAGCAUCACUCAGCUGAAGCCCCAUCAGCGUUUCCAUGACAAACUCGUAUUUCCGGAUGCCUUUCUUCCAGCUUGAAGAGCCUGCCUCGUGUGGGGGAAAAAUGAUGUCAUCAGCUGAAAGUGAGAAGCAAGGAGAACUGCGUGCAGGCCUGAAAAGAAAGGAGGCGUGAUGCAGUCAUCUGCCAGAGGGAGUAGGAGAGGCGACUUGCCUGGGGAAAACAGUGUAGGAUUGCUGGGCAGCAAUAUGGCAGCAAUGUGGUCCUCUGAGGUCAGUGGUGAUGAAUUUAAAGGGAAACCUUUCAGUACAGCUCUGUGUUUUUCUCCAGCCACCUUUAACACCUGGAGUGCAGGCAUUAAAUAGCUAAAAGUCACAUUUGACAAGUGUUGAUUUUGCUAGGCCUAUAGGUUGGGAGAGAGAAGGUCAGAAUGGUUGUCAUUGUUAUCUAUUGCUGUGAAACACAUGACUCCAACACAAUUACUCCCAAACAACAAAUAUUUAUUACCUCAUAGUUUCUGUGGGUCACAGUUUGGAAUUUGGAAGCAGCUCAGGCUGGGCAGUUCUGGCUUGGGGUCUUUCACGAGGCUGCAGUCAAAUGUUACCUCAGGUUACAGUCAUCUAAAAGCUUGUAUAGGGCUGGAGGAUCUGCUUCCAGGGUGGUGCACUCACAUGGCUGGCAAGUCAGUAGUGGUGGUUGGUGGACAACUCAGUUCCUCUACAGGCUGUCAGAGUGUACUUACAGCCUGACAACCAGCUUCUCCCAGAGCUACCAGUCCAAGAGGGAGACCUAAUCAGAAGCUAUCCUUCUUUGACCUAUGCUCAGAAGUGACAUUGCGUUCCUU
rnacentral:lncRNA from 10 species